AGCGCAGUCGCCAAGUGGUUUAAGGCUCCUCCCUCAUAAGGAGGUGAUCGCUGGUUCAAAUCCAGCCUGCGCUACCA
rnacentral:tRNA from 1 species